CCUACGGGAGGCUGCAGUGGGGAAUAUUGGGCAAUGGACGAAAGUCUGACCCAGCUAUGCCGCGUGAAUGAUGAAGGCCUUAGGGUCGUAAAGUUCUUUUACCGGGGAGGCGGUACCCGGAGAAAAAGCUCCGGCUAACUUCGUGCCAGCAGCCGCGGUAAUACGAAGGGAGCAAGCGUUGCUCGGAUUUAUUGGGCGUAAAGGGUGUGUAGGCGGUUUGAUAAGUUAGAUGUGAAAGCCCAGGGCUUAACCCUGGAAUUGCAUUUAAGACUGUCAGACUUGAAGAUUGGAGAGGUUAGCAGAAUUCCCAGUGUAGAGGUGAAAUUCGUAGAUAUUGGGAAGAAUACCAAUGGCGUAGGCAGCUAACUGGCCAAACUUGACGCUGAGGCACGAAAGCGUGGGGAGCAAACAGGAUUAGAUACCCUUGUAGUC
rnacentral:rRNA from 1 species